UAAAACUCAGCAGUAAACUGAGCCGUGAAGCAGCACGAUAUGCUGAGAGCCUUGCUAGCACCAGGAUUCUGAAGCACAGUGUUGAGUCUAGUAGAGGAAACUGUGGAGAAAAUUUAGCAUGGGCAUCUUAUGAUCAAAUAGGUAAAGAUGUGUCAGAUCGCUGGUAUAAUGAAGUGAACCAGUACAACUUCAAUCAGCCA